UACUCACACACCGGUUCCCAUACGAUUACCGAAGAAAAGCAAAGUCGAGCUUGGUCAGUAGAUGGGUGACCGCUUGGGAAUACCAUUGAGCUGUAAG